AACGUAGAAGGAGAGCGUUAUCCGGAUUUUCUGAGCGUACAGCGCGCGUAGGUUGCACCGUAAGUCGGGCGUGAAAUCUCCUGGCUCAACUGGGAGGGGUCGUCCGAUACUGCGGAGCUUGAGGGCAGGAGAGGGAGGUGGAAUACCCGGUGUAGUGGUAAAAUGCGUAGAUAUCGGGAGGAACACCAGUGGCGAAGGCGGCCUCCUGGCCUGCCCCUGACGCUGAGGAGCGAAAGCGUGGGGAGCGAACCGU
rnacentral:rRNA from 1 species